UGGGGAAUAUUGGACAAUGGGCGCAAGCCUGAUCCAGCCAUGCCGCGUGUGUGAAGAAGGCCUUCGGGUUGUAAAGCACUUUCAGCGAGGAGGAAGGGAUUGUAGUUAAUAGCUGCAAUUUUUGACGUUACUCGCAGAAGAAGCACCGGCUAACUCUGUGCCAGCAGCCGCGGUAAUACAGAGGGUGCAAGCGUUAAUCGGAAUUACUGGGCGUAAAGCGCACGUAGGCGGUUGGUUAAGUUGGAUGUGAAAGCCCCGGGCUCAACCUGGGAAUUGCAUUCAAAACUGGCCAACUAGAAUACGGGAGAGGGGGGUAGAAUUCCAAGUGUAGCGGUGAAAUGCGUAGAGAUUUGGAGGAAUACCAGUGGCGAAGGCGGCCCCCUGGCCCGAUAUUGACGCUGAGGUGCGAAAGCGUGGGGAGCAAACAGG
rnacentral:rRNA from 1 species